CUGCCAGCUGGUCAGGGACAAAUUCAGUGAAGGCAGGACUUGUACAGCUUCUCUCUGGCUACCUGGACCUCAUUUCUACAGGUUUUACAGAGACACAGCCCAAGAUCACUGAAAACACUUCGCUGACCUAAUAACUGCAUUCAUUUAAAACACCAGUGAAUAUGAGGAAAUCAAGACAAAGAGAGAUGAGGUAAUUUGUCUGAAGCUGCACAAAUAGAAAGAGGCGGCGCUGAGAUCCAACCCUCUGCGUGACAGAGCCUCCGACACUCGCAUCACCCUCCCAGGCAUCGCAGGUUUUGUUCCUACAUACA